GGAAGGGUCGCUCAGCGGUAGAGCACCGCGGUGCCUUCCCGCGGCGGCGUUAGCCUCGUGGCGUUCAAAUCCCACCCCUUCCG
rnacentral:tRNA from 1 species